AAAGCAAUAAACGGAUGCCUUGGGUAAAAAAGAGGAAGAAGGACGUAGCUGGCUGCGAUAAGUCUUGAUGAGAUGCCAACAAUCGCUUGGAGUCAAGAAUUUCCGAAUGGGGUAACCUAUUCUCUAUAGGAGAAUACAAAGUUGACAAUACUCGGUGAAGUGAAAUAUCUCAGUAACCGAAGGAAAAGAAAUCGUAAUGAGAUUCCCUUAGUAGUGACGAGCGAACAGGGAAGAGCCCAAACUCCAUUAGUGUAAGCUUCUAGGCGUUGCUAAUGAGAGGGUUGUAGGGUUGUUUAUGAAGAGCUAGAAAUCUUCAAAUGGAGAGAUGUUAUAUUAGGAGAAAUAUUUGGAUGAUAUACCAUAGAGGGUUAAAGUCCCGUAUCUAAAAAUAUGCCACCACAUUAAACAAUACCUGAGUAAUGUCAGACACGAGAAAUCUGGCAUGAAUCUGCCCAGACCACUGGGUAAGGCUAAAUACUUUUUUACACCGAUAGCGCAGAGUACCGUGAGGGAACGGUGAAAAGAACCCCAGGUAGGGGAGUGAAAUAGAACCUGAAAUUUAUUGCUUACAAUUGAGUGGGAGCCUACGGGUGACCACGUACCUAUUGACGAAUGGGUCAGCGAGUUAUUAGUAGUAGCAAGGUUAAGGCAGUUAUAGCUGGAGCCGUAGCGAAAGCGAGUCUGAAUAGGGCGAUAGUUAUUAUUAAUAGACCCGAAGCGGUAUGAGCUAGACAUGGGCAGGUUGAAGGCAUAGGAAACUAUGCUGGAGGACCGAACGGGUUGGUGCUGCAAAACCUUCCGAUGACCUGUGUUUAGGAGUGAAAAGCUCAUCGAAUACCGUGAUAGCUGGUUCUCUCCGAAAUGCAUUUAGGUGCAGCCUGUAUUUUAAGGUCUUGAAGAGGUAGAGCUCUGGAAAGGCUAGGGGGAUCGAGAGAUCUUACCAAACCUUACUAAACUUCGAAUGCUUCAAGGAAUAAUACAGAGUGGGACUGCGGGAGCAAGUUUCGUAGUCAAAAGGAUAACAGUCCAGACUUCUGAUUAAGGUCCCUAAAGUAAUGCUAAGUGGAAAAAGAGGUGUCUUUACUUAUACAUCCAGGAGGUUUGCCUAGAAGCAGCAAUCCUUUAAAGAAAGCGUAACAGCUCACUGGACUAGUGAAGAUGCGCUGAAGAUGUAACGGGGCUAAGCAUUAUACCGAAAUCGAAGACCAGUGUAGUAAUACACUGUGUGGUAGGAGAGUGUUCUUACAGGAUGAAGCUACAUCGUGAGGUGUGGUCGACUAGUAAGAAGUAAAAAUGCUGACAUGAGUAACGCUUAUUGAUGAAAAUUCAAUAUAUCGAAACCCUAAGGAUUCCUACGCAACGUUCAUCGUCGUAGGGUUAGUCGGGACCUAAGGCUUAUCCAGAAGUGGAGAGUCGAUGGAUAACUGGUUAAUAUUCCAGUACUUAUAUAUAGAGUGAUGGGGUGACGCAUUGAGAUUUGUGAGAGCUUAUUAAGGAUUUAAGUCGAAAGAACAAGGUUUUUAUGGCGUUAGCUAUAAAGGUAGUUGCAGGAAAAUCCACAGCUAUUGAUACUGAGUUUGAUCGGGAUUCAAUUCCUCGGAAUUGGAAAUUCUCAUCGUUUUGGUGCCGAGAAAAACCUCUAAACUUAAUCUAUAUGUAACCCGUACCCAGAUCAGACACUUGUGGGGUGGUAGAGAAUACUAAGAUAAUCGAGAUAACUAAUGGGUAAGGAACUUGGCAAAUUAGCGGACGUACUUUCGAAAUAAGUCCUGUCCCGAGCAAUCGGGAUCGCAGCGAAAGAGAUGGGGGGAACUGUUUAUCAAAAACACAGCUCGCUGCUAACUCGUAAGAGGAUGUAUAGCGGGUGAUGCCUGUCCAAUGCCAGAAUGUUAUGCUCUCUUGUGCAAGCUCGAGGGUUAAGCACUGGUGAAUGACGGCCGUAACUAUGACGGUCCUAAGGUAGCGAAAUUCCUUGUCAGGUAAGUUCUGACGCGCAUGAAUGGCAUAAUCAUCCCCAUGCUGUCUUACCCUUAGACUCGGUGAAAUUACAUUCCCGGUAAAAAUGCCGGGUAGUCACAGUUAGACGGAAAGACCCUGUGAAGCUUUACUGUAGAUUGAUAUUGGAUUGUAGCAUGUUUUGCUCAGUAUAGGUGGGAGGCUUUGAUGUUUCGACUUCGGUUGGGGCGGAGCCAAUAGUGAGAUACCACCCAAAAUAUGUAGCAAUUCUAAUCCCUAGGUUGGGAGACAGUUUCAGUUGGACAGUUUACCUGGGGCGGGUGCCUCCUAAAAAGUAGCGGAGGCGUGCAAAGGUUUGCUUACUACGGAUGGAAACCGUGGUGAAUGUGU
rnacentral:rRNA from 1 species